rnacentral:rRNA from 1 species
ACGUUUGGGAACUUUCCCCAUAAUGGUCGACUGCAGGCGUCGGGAUCCACUAGUGAUGAGUGAUCUGCUCCAGAACGAACGCUGGCGGCCAGCCCUAAACCAUGCAAGUUGAAGCGUUCCCUCCGAGUGAGACGCGCGACCGUUUGAUAACGGGGGGAAUAUCCUUCCAUAGGAAAUAGCUCUCGGAACUUGAGAUAUAUCCCAUACGCCCUUUCGGGGGAAGGAUUUAUCGGUGAAGGAUUAGCCCGGUUAAAAUUAGAUAGUGGUGGGGGUAAUGGCCUACCAAGUCUACGAUCUUUAGCUGGUUUUAGAGGAUGAUCCAGCACACAUUGGGACUGAGACACCGGUCCAGAAUCCUUACGGAAGCAGCAGUGGGAAUCUUAGACCAUGGGCGCCAAGCCUGAUCCUAGCAUGCCGCGUGAGUGAUGAAGGUCUUAGGAUCGUAAAGCUCUUUCGCUAGGGAUGAUAAUGACAGUACCUAGUAAAGAAGCCCCGGCUAACUCCGUGCCAGCAGCCGCGGUAAUACGGAGGGGGCUAGCGUUGUUCGGAAUUACUGGGCGUAAAGCGUACGUAGGCGGAUCAGAAAGUAUGGGGUGAAAUCCCAGGGCUUAACCCUGGAACUGCCUCAUAAACUCCUGGUCUUGAGUUCGAGAGAGGUGAGUGGAAUUCCAAGUGUAGAGGUGAAAUUCGUAGAUAUUUGGAGGAACACCAGUGGCGAAGGCGGCUCACUGGCUCGAUACUGACGCUGAGGUACGAAAGUGUGGGGAGCAAACAGGAUUAGAUACCCUGGUAGUCCACACCGUAAACGAUGAAUGCCAGUCGUCGGGCAGUAUACUGUUCGGUGACACACCUAACGGAUUAAGCAUUCCGCCUGGGGAGUACGGUCGCAAGAUUAAAACUCAAAGGAAUUGACGGGGGCCCGCACAAGCGGUGGAGCAUGUGGUUUAAUUCGAAGCAACGCGCAGAACCUUACCAACCCUUGACAUGCCUGGACAAUCCGAGAGAUCGGACUUUCCUUCGGGACCAGUGCACAGGUGCUGCAUGGCUGUCGUCAGCUCGUGUCGUGAGAUGUUCGGUUAAGUCCGGCAACGAGCGCAACCCACAUCUUUAGUUGCCAGCAGGUUAAGCUGGGCACUCUAGAGAAACUGCCCGUGAUAAGCGGGAGGAAGGUGUGGAUGACGUCAAGUCCUCAUGGCCCUUACGGGUUGGGCUACACACGUGCUACAAUGGCAGUGACAAUGGGUUAAUCCCAAAAAGCUGUCUCAGUUCGGAUUGGGGUCUGCAACUCGACCCCAUGAAGUCGGAAUCGCUAGUAAUCGCGUAACAGCAUGACGCGGUGAAUACGUUCCCGGGCCUUGUACACACCGCCCGUCACACCAUGGGAGUUGGUUCUACCCGACGACGCUGCGCUAACCCUUCGGGGAGGCAGGCGGCCACGGUAGGAUCAGCGACUGGGGUGAAGUCGUAACAAGGUAGCCGUAAUCGAAUUUCCCGCGGCCGCCAAAAR